UCCAAGUCAGGCCUUCAGGGCGCUUACAGUCCCAAACAGCCCAGCAAACCGGAAGUCAUGUGGCAGAGAGCAGUUACUUCUCCUGCCCUGGAGAUGCUUGAAGACCUAGGAGGAAAGAGGAACCAGUGUUCUGGUUGCUGACGAUUUCUUCGGCUCUGGGGCAUUCAUGAAGCGCGCUGUCUGGGGGGAAAGGACACCCUUGCGCAGCCAUGAUGGUGAGCAAGGCCAGAGGAGUGAGCUACUCUUCCUCCGAGAAGCCCUCCAGGAUCACUUCGGGCCAGUGGUUUACAAAUUGGGGGCCCUUCCGCAUCACCUGAGAAGUGGGACUUUUGCUGCUGCAUCACUGAUGACAG